AGGAAACUUGUAAAGUUUUGUUGAAUUCUUAUCUGAAAUAAAGGUUAAUUCACAUUGAUGUCUGGUGGCAGAGUGUUCAGCAAAUUGGAAGCAGAGCUGACCGUAUGAAGAUUGAAACAGAGGAUCUUUUCUUGUAUGCAAGCACUGAUAUUGAGG